AUCCAUAAAAAAUACAUUUGCACGAACACACGAGUUAUAUUUUAAAAAUAGGGUUGUAACAGUUGACGGAUCAAAAAAUAAAAUAAAAUUAUUCAUUAUAAAUUCUAAAAUGAUUGUGUUUAUAAAUAUAUUAAGUAAUUAUUUAAUAUAUAUAUAUAUAUAUAAAUUUUAAAAACAUAUAUUAUCAUUUAUAUAAGAUAAAUAUUUUUUUUUGCAAACCAAAUGAAUAUGAUCAAGCUCUAGUAUAUAUUGAGGGCACGACCUAGAAGAGAGGGAGAGACAAUUUUUACGGCCAAGCCCUGCCAAAAUAACCGACAACGCAGCCUGCAUUUACUCUGAGAUAUCAGUGCCAAGUUGGGAUUUUGGAGAGACGUUUGCGACCAGAUACGAAAGAGUUAGGCAAAGAACUCAAGUUGGAUUGAUAGAUCUCAUUGCAAGGAAGACACAGAAACUUUCGGAUCUCAAUUAAGAGAGCCAUAUUGGGAAGAAAUUUCUGGUUUAUACAAAAUAAGUUAGGUGAAGUUCGUGAUAGUUUUAGAAAGCUGACGUUACCAGCUUUCUACAGCCACUAAGAACGCUUCAUUACGAGGUAAAAUAUGGAAGUUAUUCGAUUUUCAAUUUGGAGAAAAAUCACUGUUUUCUGAAUCCGGAAAUUCCAAGUCUGAAACCUGUUUUUCCAGUUUCACAUAGGAGUUUUGUGAGAAGGUUUACCGGUGAACCAGAGAGAGAUAGGACGCUAGUAAGGUUUCUAUGGAAAGAUCUAGCUGCAAGGAAUCUAUAUCUGUUUACCUUAUAUUUUUUAGAGGUAAGACAAAAUACUUAUUCGCGUUGCUUCCUGGACAAGAAUCAUCUUGUUCUGUCAAAACCAGAAACCCUAAUUCGCUUCGAACGCAAAUGCAGUUUCAGCACUAGAACAGAGUGUCAAUCCGCUAGUUUCAGAACCCACUUUCAACCUUAAGGCAAUGGUGAGGGUGCGAUCUGUGGACUUUAAUUAUUAUUAGUCAAGUUGUAUUCUUAAAUGCUAAGUCUAGGAGUUUGUCUGUAUUUGAUUGUUUGAUGAAUAACGUUGAUGAUGACCUGUUAGUUGAUAAUUGUUAAAGUGAUAUGUGGUGAAGUUGUUAAGUGAAUAUUAAAUGUGUAAAGUCAGACUGAGGACGAGGACAUGGAGAUCCCGUCAAAGCCCGUAAACCUGCUGACGAGCCCAAGGUGGCGUACGACCUUUCGAGGUGACGGCCAGCCUAAGUUGUCAUGUUAUUAUUAAUACUAGGUCCCUUCCCGGGCUACGCCCGGGUUAAUUAUUUAUAAACCUUAAUUUAUGAAGAAUAUUGUAGAACUUUCAUGUGAACAUAUUACUCUUUUUACUGGGUGAAUGUUACAUAUAAUUUUUUCUUGCAUUUUUAUGUAACAAAAAUAUAUAUUUUUUAGUUUUCUAAAAUACCAAAACUAAGUUAUGAAUACAUAAAUAGUCCGGAUGAUGUUGAAAAGUUGUUAUUAGUUGUAUUUCUUUGAUUAUUAUCUCAUGAGUUGUAGAUGGAGUAAUUUCUUUGUUGUUGAUAGAAUAAUUUCUUUGUUGUUGAUUUAUUUUUAUUUUUUUCUCUUGCUACUUCUUUUGAUAUCAUAUAUGAUAUAAUAUCAAAUUUUAGUUUUUUUUCAUUUUUGAUUGAAAUUUUGAAUAAUCUAUAUUAUUUCUGAUGAAAUGGAUUCUUUUUAAUAGUGUCGUGAAAAUUACUAAACAAAUAUAAUAUAUAUCAUAUACUCAAGCAUACAAAGAAAUAUUUUUACUUUACCAUUGUUCACACUCUUAAAAUAAGAAAAUUAUAAAUGUUUCGUCUUAAAUUUUUGAUUAACUAUUCACUGAUUACAUUAUUAUUAUUUAACGUGUUGAGCUUUUUUUAUAUAUGGGUUGAAAAUAUGUCCCCUUAUAUUUAUUUGAUCAAAUUUUUGCAUCCAAAAUAUUAUUGAUACUUUAUAUAUUGUAAAUAACUAAAUAUAUGAAAUUAAUAUUUUAGUAAUAUAUGUGUUGAUUUAGAAGGGGGAUCAAAUGUAUUUUAACUAACUUAGAAACGGUAUAGGUUUAAAUGUUCAGUGAUUAGUACUCAUAAUAUCAUAUUUUUUAGAAAAUGUCAUUUGAUUGAAAAUAGUAAAAUACUUUUCUUUUUGAAACUAUAAUAGUAAAAUACUUGGUUAGUAAUAAGUUUGUAAGACUUGUAGUUUCUUUUUCUAUUUCGUUAACAUAACAUUUCCCUUAAGUACAACAAAACUUGUAUUAUAACAACCAACUUUUAGUUUGGAUUUUUGGUAAAAGAUUGUCGAGGAUCCAUGUGAGAUUAGCACACUCAUCGAACCAA